CAUAUCAACUUUCGAUGCCACUUUCUGCACCUACCAAGGUGACCACGGGUAACGGGGAAUCAGGGUUCGAUUGCG